rnacentral:misc_RNA from 1 species
UCAAUUGCUCUUUCUGAUGA